rnacentral:snRNA from 1 species
AGCUUUGAGCAGUGGCAGUAUCUUCGCCAAUGAGGUCUAUCUGAGGAGCAAUUAUUGCUAAUGGAAAAAAACAAUCACAGA